CUCUACCUUUAACCCCCCCAAACCAGGUCUGUACCUUUAACCCCCCCAAACCAGGUCUGUACCUUUAACCGCCCCAAACCAGGUCUGUACCUUUAACCGCCCCAAACCAGGUCUGUACCUUUAACCCCCCCAAACCAGGUCUGUACCUUUAACCGCCCCAAACCAGGUCUCUACCUUUAACCCCCCCAAACCAGGUCUGUACCUUUAACCACCCCGAGCCAGGUCUGUACCUUUAACCCCCCCAAACCAGGUCUGUACCUUUAACCGCCCCGAGCCAGGUCUCUGCCGGUAACCGCCCCAUUCCUUUAGAUCAGACAUCAACUUCUAGUCAAGCUGGUUGUUGCUUUCUUGAUAAAUGAUGAAGGUCUUUGGUUCUCAUCUCAUAUGAAAAGAAGGAGACGUUUGUGUUGGAGGUGAUGAGUCGUCUGUGCAGAAUGAGCUGCAAGUUACAAGAAGAGAUUUAAAACUGUUGCCUUUAGGACACUAACAGGCUGCUUACUUUAGUCUGCAUCAAACCUGAGACUCUCGACAACCAGCCAGGAAGGAACUCGCUGUUUGGGCUCAUGAGAUGUAGAUGCUUUUACAAAUACAGUGUAAUUAACUUCAUCGUAGUUGCAGAGCAACUUAUUGUUCAUAUUGUCGAUAUUUAAGCAUUUAACCUGAAAUCGGAGCCUUCCAUGGAUUUGUGAAUGACAAGAAGAGAAUCUGUCUCUUCGUUCAAUGUAAGAACUCACUGGAGACGAGAUCUAUCACCUAUUUAUGUCAUGUAAAUAGAUUUGGGUUUUGUUUGAGUAUUUAACAGGUCAGAGCAGUUAGUGUCUUCCAGCGAACUGCAGCCACAAGACAAACUGUCUGAUCACCACUAACCUGACUCCUAAUGUGCAAGGGAAUGGGAAAAGUUCAACUGGAAAAAUAAAUGAUGGAAUAAUGUCAUAAA